rnacentral:misc_RNA from 1 species
AAGUCGUAACAAGGUUUCCGUAGGUGAACCUGCGGAAGGAUCAUUAGAGUAAGAAGUGUGAGUGUAGGCUUUGGUCGGAGGGAACCGGAAGCCAUAGGUUUCGCCGCUCAGUCGUGAUGAACACAGGAUUUUUGUGCCGAUGCCGGCCGGACGUGAAACGGGAUAUCCUCUCUCACGAGACCUGCCUGUUAACUGCUAAGGCCCGCUGCGACAGACGGGACUGAAACUCCCGGAGUCGAGAAACAGCGUUGGAGCAUCGCAACCAAGGGCCUCUAAUCCUGGUGUGGUACCGGUGACCGGAAGACGGAGAACACUCCCGCCCACUGGGCGUCUCUUUGUGAACAAACCUUUCAAACUAUUUUCAGUUAUUAUUGCACCGUCUGAGCAGAGAAAGCAAAUCUUAUAAAACUUUCAACAACGGAUCUCUUGGUUCUC